AUUGAACGCUGGCGGCAUGCCUUACACAUGCAAGUCGAACGGUAACAGGUCUUCGGAUGCUGACGAGUGGCGAACGGGUGAGUAAUACAUCGGAACGUGCCUAGUAGUGGGGGAUAACUACUCGAAAGAGUGGCUAAUACCGCAUGAGAUCUACGGAUGAAAGCAGGGGAUCGAAAGACCUUGUGCUACUAGAGCGGCCGAUGGCAGAUUAGGUAGUUGGUGGGAUAAAAGCUUACCAAGCCGACGAUCUGUAGCUGGUCUGAGAGGACGAUCAGCCACACUGGGACGGAGACACGGCCCGGACUCCUACGGGAGGCAGCAGUGGGGAAGUUUGGACAAUGGGCGAAAGCCUGAUCCAGAAAUGCCGCGUGCAGGAUGAAGGCCUUCGGGUUGUAAACUGCUUUUGUACGGAACGAAAAGCCCUGGGUUAAUACCCUGGGGUCAUGACGGUACCGUAAGAAUAAGCACCGGCUAACUACGUGCCAGCCGCCGCGGUAAUAC
rnacentral:rRNA from 1 species